GUGGAUUAGAUACCCUGGUAGUCCACGCCCUAAACGAUGUCGACUAGUUGUUCGGAGCGGUAACGUUCUGAGUAACGCAGCUAACGCGUGAAGUCGACCGCCUGGGGAGUACGGCCGCAAGGUUAAAACUCAAAGGAAUUGACGGGGACCCGCACAAGCGGUGGAUGAUGUGGAUUAAUUCGAUGCAACGCGAAAAACCUUACCUACCCUUGACAUGCCUGGAACCCUUGAGAGAUCAGGGGGUGCCUUCGGGAGCCAGGACACAGGUGCUGCAUGGUUGUCGCCAGCU
rnacentral:rRNA from 1 species